rnacentral:rRNA from 1 species
UACGAAGGGGGCUAGCGUUGCUCGGAAUCACUGAGCGUAAAGGGCGCGUAGGCGGCCAUUCAAGUCGGGGGUGAAAGCCUGUGGCUCAACCACAGAAUUGCCUUCGAUACUGUUUGGCUUGAGUUUGGUAGAGGUUGGUGGAACUGCGAGUGUAGAGGUGAAAUUCGUAGAUAUUCGCAAGAACACCAGUGGCGAAGGCGGCCAACUGGACCAACACUGACGCUGAGGCGCGAAAGCGUGGGGAGCAAACAGG